CGAGUAGAUAGACUGACACAGACAACAGUAAGCAUACCUCUUGUCAAUCUGCACUUCAGAGCCUAGUUACUUUUUGAGCCAAUAUAUGCAUCAACUCAGGAUCCUCCGCUGUAUAAACCUGGUAUCACGAAGAAAGGCAACAAUAAGUAUACCUCUUCUCAAUCUGCACUUCGGAGCCUAGAUUUUGUAUCAAUCUCAAUAUGAAAACUGAAGCAAUAUACAUUGGCAUACCAGGAAGAAAGGCAACAAUACCCAGCAACAAAUAGGCCAUACACCUGAGAGCUGUCAGCAUCCAUGUGACCUUGAAACUGCAUAAGGAAAUAUCAUAGCAAAAGUUUAAUAUUGUCUGAUAGGACACAACAGCCAUGUAUCUUUCUAAGAAAGUUGACAAUCAGCUUGUAAACAAAAUACCUUGCUAGUUGCAAAACAACCUUCGGUAUCAUCUUUGUAUCAUUAUGUAGCAAAGGUCCCUACUUUAUAUUAGCCUAACAAACCUGCCGAAGCUAUCUGCACAACUCCACAAAAAUCAGAAAAGAAUUAAGAGAAUUAGUAUUAAAAGGAGAUGAGCAGUAUGCCUACAAGGAUGAAAUAAUAGGAUGGAUUGACAUGAACUACACACGCAUUAGUACCUGCAGUUCAAUAUCCCAAUGCCCUUAAGAAUUUCUACUACUCCUGAUCUGAAAGUGUUCAACUUAACCAAAUAGAUUGUUACUUAUCUUUGGCUCUGAACAAUACUGACUUAUAAACAGUUAUAAGCAUCAAAUUUCAAAGAAUCACAGAUCAACAAGUUGCUGGCUGAUCUGUCAUACAUGUAUUUAUUUUUUCAAUGGUAUGCUUGCCCUUGGGACAAAGCUUUGAAUUGGCUAG
rnacentral:lncRNA from 1 species